CCUUGGAGAAAUUCUCUCUUCUCAUUCUACCAUCCUGUCCAAUUCUGGAAGCUAAGCAGGGUCAAGCCCGGUUACUUCUUGGAUGAGAGACCUCUGGGAAUACCAGGGAUCUCAAGAU
rnacentral:rRNA from 1 species